rnacentral:misc_RNA from 1 species
UCACCCCUCAAGCUUCCCGGCUUGGUGUUGGACGGUUUAGCCUUGGUGACGAGGCCCGUUUUAAAGUCAAUGACGGCGGCCUGUUCGACCCCCGGUACACCGAGCUUCUUAACUGAGCACGUAUCGGUUGAAGGGUAGGCAGGACCCGGUCUUCUUUCCUUAACCGGAAACUCUUUCCAAGG